GGGAACUGAAACAUCUAAGUACCCGGAGGAAGAGAAAACAAGAGUGAUUCCGUCAGUAGCGGCGAGCGAACGCGGAUUAGCCCAAACCAAGGAGCUUGCUCCUUGGGGUUGUAGGACGUCUCACAUGGAGUUACAAAGGUGUUGGUUAGGCGAAGAGGUCUGGAAAGGUCCGGCACAGAGGGUAAAAGCCCCGUAGCCGAAAGUCUGCACCCUCCGAGACGGAUCCUGAGUACCGCGGGACACGUGAAACCCCGUCGGAAUCCGGCAGGACCAUCUGCCAAGGCUAAAUACUCCCUGGCGACCGAUAGU
rnacentral:ncRNA from 1 species